rnacentral:rRNA from 1 species
ACCGCCCUAGUUCUAACCAUAAACGAUGCCAACUAGCGAUCCGCCUGAGUUCCUCAAAUGACUCGGCGGGCAGCUUCCGGGAAACCAAAGUGUUUGGGUUCCGGGGGAAGUAUGGUUGCAAAGCUGAAACUUAAAGGAAUUGACGGAAGGGCACCACCAGGAGUGGAGCCUGCGGCUUAAUUUGACUCAACACGGGAAAACUUACCCGGCCCGGACACUGGAAGGAUUGACAGAUUAAGAGCUCUUUCUUGAUUCAGUGGGUGGUGGUGCAUGGCCGUUCUUAGUUGGUGGAGCGAUUUGUCUGGUUAAUUCCGAUAACGAACGAGACUCUAGCCUACUAAAUAGGCGUUCCGAUCCUUUAUGUCGGACGUUCUUCUUAGAGGGACAAGCGGCUUUUAGCCGCACGAGACAGAGCAAUAACAGGUCUGUGAUGCCCUUAGAUGUCCGGGGCCGCACGCGCGCUACACUGAAGGAAUCAGCGUGUGCUUUCCCUGUCUGGUAGGACUGGGUAACCCGUUAAACCUCCUUCGUGAUAGGGAUAGGGGCUUGUAAUUGUCCCCUUAAACGAGGAAUUCCCAGUAAGCACGAGUCAUAAGCUCGUGUUGAUUACGUCCCUGCCCUUUGUACACACCGCCCGUCGCUACUACCGAUUGAAUGAUUUAGUGAGGUCUUCGGACUGGCGCUCGUAGCGACCUUUGGCCGCGCCGACGUGCCGGAAAGAUGACCAAACUUGAUCAUUUAGAGGAA